rnacentral:rRNA from 1 species
UACGUAGGGUGCAAGCGUUGUCCGGAAUUAUUGGGCGUAAAGAGUUCGUAGGUGGUUGUCGGCGUUGUUCGUGAAAACUCACAGCUCAACUGUGGGCGUGCGGGCGAUACGGGCAGACUGGAGUACUGCAGGGGAGACUGGAAUUCCUGGUGUAGCGGUGGAAUGCGCAGAUAUCAGGAGGAACACCGGUGGCGAAGGCGGGUCUCUGGGCAGUAACUGACGCUGAGGAGCGAAAGCGUGGGGGAGCGAACAGG